AUUGAACGCUGGCGGAAUGCUUUACACAUGCAAGUCGAACGGCAGCACGGGGCAACCUGGUGGCGAGUGGCGAACGGGUGAGUAAUACAUCGGAACGUGCCCGAAUCGUGGGGGAUAACGUAGCGAAAGUUACGCUAAUACCGCAUACGAUCUACGGAUGAAAGCGGGGGAUCGCAAGACCUCGCGCGAAUGGAGCGGCCGAUGUCAGAUUAGGUAGUUGGUGGGGUAAAGGCUCACCAAGCCGACGAUCUGUAGCUGGUCUGAGAGGACGACCAGCCACACUGGGACUGAGACACGGCCCAGACUCCUACGGGAGGCAGCAGUGGGGAAUUUUGGACAAUGGGCGCAAGGCCUGAUCCAGCCAUUCCGCGUGCAGGAUGAAGGCC
rnacentral:rRNA from 1 species